AUACGUUGCGGGCGCGCGUUGUCAGGAAUGACUGGGCGUAAAGGGCGUGUAGGCGGCGCCGCAAGUCUGGAGUGAAAGUCCUGUUUUCAAGGGGGGAAUUGCUUUGGAUACUGCGGCGCUUGAGUGCGGACGAGGUAAGUGGAAUUCCCAGUGUAGCGGUGAAAUGCGUAGAGAUUGGGAGGAACACCAGUGGCGAAGGCGACUUACUGGGCCGUAACUGACGCUGAGGCGCGAAAGCGUGGGGAGCGAACAGGAUUAGAUACCCUGGUAGUCCACGCGGUAAACGAUGAAUGCUAGGUGUUGCGGGUAUCGACCCCUGCAGUGCCGGAGUCAACACAAUAAGCAUUCCGCCUGGGGAGUACGGCCGCAAGGUUGAAACUCAAAGGAAUUGACGGGG
rnacentral:rRNA from 1 species